rnacentral:rRNA from 1 species
CAGAGGGUGCUAGCGUUGUUCGGAAUUACUGGGCGUAAAGGGCGCGUAGGCGGCCUUUAAGUCAGGCGUGAAAGCCCCAGGCUCAACCUGGGAUGUGCGCUUGAUACUGGAAGGCUAGAGAGUAGGAGAGGAAAACAGAAUUCCUAGUGUAGAGGUGAAAUUCGUAGAUAUUAGGAAGAAUACCAGUGGCGAAGGCGGUUUUCUGGACUACUACUGACGCUGAGGCGCGAAAGCGUGGGGAGCAAACAGGAUU